UGGGGAAUCUUCCGCAAUGGACGAAAGUCUGACGGCGCAACGCCGCGUGAGUGAAGACGGCCUUCGGGUUGUAAAGCUCUGUGAUCCGGGACGAAAGAGCCUGAGGUAAAUAGCCUAAGGAAGUGACGGUACCGGAAAAGCAAGCCACGGCUAACUACGUGCCAGCAGCCGCGGUAAUACGUAGGUGGCAAGCGUUGUCCGGAAUUAUUGGGCGUAAAGCGCGCGCAGGCGGCUUACUAAGUCCAUCUUAAAAGUGCGGGGCUUAACCCCGUGAUGGGGUGGAAACUGGAAAGCUGGAGUAUCGGAGAGGAAAGUGGAAUUCCUAGUGUAGCGGUGAAAUGCCUAGAGAUUAGGAAGAACCCCGGUGGCGGAGGCGACUUUCUGGACGAAAACUGACGCUUAGGCGCGAAAGCGUGGGGAGCAAACAGG
rnacentral:rRNA from 1 species